UGCAAGUCGAACGGUAACAGAGAAUAGCUUGCUAUUUUGCUGACGAGUGGCGGACGGGUGAGUAAUGCUUGGGAAUUUGCCGAAAGGUGGGGGACAACAGUUGGAAACGACUGCUAAUACCGCAUAAUGUCUACGGACCAAAGGUGGCCUCUAUUUAUAUGCUAUCGCUUUUCGAUGAGCCCAAGUGGGAUUAGCUAGUUGGUAAGGUAAUGGCUUACCAAGGCGACGAUCCCUAGCUGGUCUUAGAGGAUGACCAGCCACACUGGAACUGAGACACGGUCCAGACUCCUACGGGAGGCAGCAGUGGGGAAUAUUGCACAAUGGAGGAAACUCUGAUGCAGCCAUGCCGCGUGUGUGAAGAAGGCUUUCGGGUUGUAAAGCACUUUCAGCGAGGAGGAAAGGGUGUUGCUUAAUACGCAACAUCUGUGACGUUACUCGCAGAAGAAGCACCGGCUAACUCCGUGCCAGCAGCCGCGGUAAUACG
rnacentral:rRNA from 1 species